GAAAAGCGAAUUAUGAGACUUUG
rnacentral:siRNA from 1 species